rnacentral:rRNA from 1 species
UACGUAGGGGGCAAGCGUUGUCCGGAAUUACUGGGCGUAAAGGGCGCGUAGGCGGUUUGCUAAGUUGGAUGUGAAAACUCUGGGCUUAACCCAGAGCCUGCAUCCAAAACUGGCAACUUGAGUAACUGGAGGGGAAAGCGGAAUUCCGUGGAUGAUAGCGGUGAAAUGACGUAGAUAUCAGGAGGAACACCGGUGGCGAAGGCGGCUUUCUGGACAGUAACUGACGCUGGAGGCGACGAAAGCUAGGGGAGCAAACAGG